UUCUGGUUGAUCCCGGCGGAGGCUACUGCUAUUGGGAUUCGAUUAAGCCAUGCAAGUUGAAUGAAUUUAGAUUCAUGGCGUACGGCUCAGUAACACGUGGAUAACUUACCCUUAGGACUGGGAUAACUCUGGGAAACUGGGGAUAAUACCGGAUAUUAGGCUAUGUCUGCAAUGGUUUGCCUUUGAAAUGUUUUUUUUCGCCUAAGGAUAGAUCUGCGGCUGAUUAGGUCGUUGGUGGGAUAAUGGCCCACCAAGCCGAUGAUCGGUACGGGUUGUGAGAGCAAGGGCCCGGAGAUGGAACCUGAGACAAGGUUCCAGACCCUACGGGGUGCAGCAGGCGCGAAACCUCCGCAAUGUACGAAAGUGCGACGGGGGGAUCCCAAGUGUUAUGCUUAAAGGUAUGACUUUUCAUUAGUGUAAAAAGCUUUUAGAAUAAGAGCUGGGCAAGACCGGUGCCAGCCGCCGCGGUAACACCGGCAGCUCGAGUGGUAGCUGUUUUUAUUGGGGCUAAAGCGUUCGUAGCCGGUUUUAUAAGUCUUUGGUGAAAAGCUGUAGCUUAACUAAUAGAUUUGCUGGAGAUACUAUUAGACUUGAAGUCGGGAGAGGUUAAGAGUACUACGGGGGUUAGGGGUGAAAUCUUAUAAUCCUGGAAGGACACCUGGGGCGAAAGCGUCAAACGGGAACAUCUUGGAGGGUAGUACGAAAGCAGGGGCGCCGAACCGAUUAAAUCCCGGUUAGUCCGGCCCUUAACGAGGUGAAAUGGGUGUUGGAAGGGCUUGAUUUGUCCGGGGCCAAAGGGAACUUUUAACUCCACCCCGGGAAUACGGGCCCAAAAUAAAU
rnacentral:rRNA from 1 species